ensembl:lncRNA
AGCAAGUCGUACAAACGCCAGUAUUGUUGCACGUGGAAUGUACGAAACAGAAGGCAUUUCCCUGGUGGGUUCAUUUUAAUGGGCUUUCAGGACCAUGGGGUUUUAAUGAUGUGCUGCAUCACUGAAUUCCCAAACGACUCGAGGCCUCACAAGGCGUAUCAUGGGGGAGCCUGAAGCCUAUUCCAGGGAGCUCGGGGCACAAGGCAGGGGACACCGUGGAUGGGGUACCAACCGGUCACAGGGUACAAUCACACACACUACAGACAAAGUGGAAACGCCAAUCAGCCUACAAUGCAUGUCUUUGUACCGGGAGAGGAAGCCGGAGUACCCUGAGGAAAC